GACGAACGCUGGCGGCGUGCUUAACACAUGCAAGUCGAACGAAGUGGCGAACGGGUGAGUAACGCGUAAUCCACCUGCCCUUCAGAGGGGGACAACAGCGGGAAAAGACUGCUAAUACCGCAUACUGAAGGAGGGGAUUGCGUAUGCUUAGCUAGUUGGAGGGGUAACGGCCCACCAGGGCGAUGAUCAGUAGCCGGUCUGAGAGGAUGAACGGCCACAGUGGGACUGAGACACGGCCCAGACUCCUACGGGAGGCAGCAGGGGGGAAUCUGCCGCAAUGGACGAAAGUCUGACGGAGCAACGCCGCGUGAGUGAUGACGGCCUUCGGGUUGUAAAGCUCUGUUAAUCGGGACGCGGUACCGGAAUAGAAAGCCACGGCUAACUACGGGCCAGCAGCCGCGGUAAUAC
rnacentral:rRNA from 1 species